rnacentral:tRNA from 1 species
GCAACGGUGACUUAGUGGUAGAGUGUUCGCCUACCAUGCAGAAGACCCAGGUUCGAUUCCCGGCCAGUGCA